rnacentral:rRNA from 1 species
GAUGAACGCUGGCGGCGUGCUUAACACAUGCAAGUCGAACGGAAAGGCCCAAGCUUGCUUGGGUACUCGAGUGGCGAACGGGUGAGUAACACGCGGGUGAUCUGCCCUUCACUUCGGGAUAAGCCUGGGAAACUGGGUCUAAUACCGGAUAGGACGAUGGUUUGGAUGCCAUUGUGGAAAGUUUUUGCGGUGUGGGAUGAGCUCGCGGCCUAUCAGCUUGUUGGUGGGGUAAUGGCCUACCAAGGCGUCGACGGGUAGCCGGCCUGUGAGGGUGUACGGCCACAUUGGGACUGAGAGACGGCCCAGACUCCGACGGGAGGCAGCAGUGGGGAAUAUUGCACAAUGGGCGCAAGCGUGAGGCAGCAACGCCGCGUGGGGGAUGACGGCCUUCGGGUUGUAAACUCCUUUCGCUAGGGACGAAGCGUUGUUGUGACGGUACCUGGAGAAGAAGCACCGGCUAACUACGUG